AUUGAACGCUGGCGGCAGGCCUAACACAUGCAAGUCGAACGAGUGGCGGACGGGUGAGUAAUGUCUGGGAAACUGCCUGAUGGAGGGGGAUAACUACUGGAAACGGUAGCUAAUACCGCAUACCAUCAGAUGUGCCACGAUGGGAUUAGCUUGUUGGUGGUGUAACGGCUCAACACGGCGACGAUCCCUAGCUGGUCUGAGAGGAUGACCAGCCACACUGGCAAUGAGACGCGGUCCAGACGCCUCCGGGAGGCAGCAUUGGGGACUAUUGCACAAUGGGCGCAAGCCUGAUGCAGCCAUGCCGCGUUUAUGAAGAAGGCCUUCGGGUUGUAAAGUACUUUCAGCGGGGAGGCGUUACCCGCAGAAGAAGCACCGGCUAACUCCGUGCCAGCAGCCGCGGUAAUAC
rnacentral:rRNA from 1 species